UCGAGAAUCUUCGGCAAUGGGCGCAAGCCUGACCGAGCGACGCCGCGUGGAGGAUGAAGGCCUUCGGGUUGUAAACUCCUGUCGAGGGGGAAAAAGGGCUGCAAGGCCUUGAUUGAUCCCUGGAGGAAGCACGGGCUAAGUUCGUGCCAGCAGCCGCGGUAAGACGAACCGUGCGAACGUUAUUCGGAAUCACUGGGCUUAAAGCGCGUGUAGGCGGGUUCGUACGUCCGUCGCUGAAAUCCCCCGGCUCAACCGGGGAACGGGCGUGGAUACGGCGGACCUGGAGGGGCGUAGGGGGACCUGGAACUUCCGGUGGAGCGGUGAAAUGCGUUGAGAUCGGAAGGAACGCCCGUGGCGAAAGCGAGGUCCUGGACGCCUACUGACGCUGAGACGCGAAAGCCAGGGGAGCGAACG
rnacentral:rRNA from 1 species